rnacentral:rRNA from 1 species
AAAGCGUGCGCAGGCGGUUAUGUAAGACAGAUGUGAAAUCCCCGGGCUCAACCUGGGAACUGCAUUUGUGACUGCAUGGCUAGAGUACGGUAGAGGGGGAUGGAAUUCCGCGUGUAGCAGUGAAAUGCGUAGAUAUGCGGAGGAACACCGAUGGCGAAGGCAAUCCCCUGGGCCUGUACUGACGCUCAUGCACGAAAGCGUGGGGAGCAAACAGGAUUAGAUACCCUUGU